GAUGAACGCUAGCGACAGGCUUAACACAUGCAAGUCGAGGGGCAGCGGGGUAGUGCUUGCACUACUGCCGGCGACCGGCGCACGGGUGAGUAACACGUAUGGAACCUGCCCGCAGCAGGGGGAUAAGCGGAAGAAAUUCCGUCUAAUACCGCGUAACAACGUUGGGAGGCAUCUCCCGAUGUUUAAAGAUUUAUCGGCUGCGGAUGGCCAUGCGGCGCAUUAGCUAGUCGGCGGGGUAACGGCCCACCGAGGCGACGAUGCGUAGGGGUUCUGAGAGGAAGGCCCCCCACACUGGUACUGAGACACGGACCAG
rnacentral:rRNA from 1 species